UUGGCAUAGCGUGUGCGCGAGUCACUGGGUGAAAACCUAAAGGCGGAAUGAAAGUAAAGGGGGCUUUGCUUCCGAGGGAAGAUGGGUACGUCUUGCCUUUAUAGGCGGUACCCCGCACUCCCGGGGCGUCUCUUUUCUCUUUAUGAGUGGAGGCGCACCUAUAGCGCACACGCUGAUACCCGAAAGAUGGUGAACUAUGCCUGGCCAGGACGAAGCCAGGGGAAACCCUGGUGGAGGUCCGCAGCGAUUCUGACGUGCAAAUCGAUCGUCGGAGCUGGGUAUAGGGGCGAAAGGCCAAUCGAACCAUCUAGUAGCUGGUUCCCUCUGAAGUUUCCCUCAGGAUAGCUUGCGCUCGGAGAGAAGAGUCUCAUCCGGUAGAGCGAAUGAUUAGAGGCCUUGGGGUCGAAACGACCUCAACCUAUUCUCAAACUCCAAAUAGAUGAGAUGCCCGGCUUGCUUGAAAGUGAAGCCGGGACUCGGAUCAGAGUGCCAAGUGGGCCAAUUUUGGUAAGCAGAACUGGCGCUGUGGGAUGAACCAAACGCAGAGUUAAGGCGCCUGAAUCGACGCUCAUGUGAAACCAUGAAAGGCGUUGGUUGCUUAAGACAGCAGGAUGGUGGCCAUGGAAGUCGGAAUCCGCUAAGAGGUUGUGUAACAAUUUUGAUUAUUACCCCCAUCACUUACAUUAUUAUUAAUAAGUAGUAUAGUAGAAAGAGGGGCAGGUACCGGAUGAACAGUAUACCCUCCACUAUCUACUAAUAUUGCACACAGAGGGGCAUCUGUUGAUUUAGCAAUUUUCUCAUUACAUUUAGCAGGGGUAUCUUCUAUUUUAGGGGCUAUUAACUUCAUUUCAACUAUUAUAAAUAUACGACCUCAGGGAAUAAGAAUAGAACGAAUUCCUUUAUUUGUGUGAUCAGUAGGAAUUACUGCACUACUACUAUUACUAUCAUUACCAGUAUUAGCUGGUGCUAUCACAAUAUUAUUAGUAGACCGUAAUUUCAAUACGUCAUUCUUUGACCCAGCUGGGGGUGGAGAUCCUAUUUUAUAUCAACAUUUAUUCUGAUU
rnacentral:rRNA from 1 species